UGGGGAAUCUUGCGCAAUGGGGGCAACCCUGACGCAGCAACGCCGCGUGUGUGAUGAAGGCCUUCGGGUCGUAAAGCACUGUCAGGUGGGAAGAAGAAGUGACGGUACCACCGAAGGAAGCACCGGCUAACUCCGUGCCAGCAGCCGCGGUAAUACGGAGGGUGCAAACGUUGUUCGGAAUCAUUGGGCGUAAAGGGCACGCAGGCGGCGUGUCAGGUCGGAUGUGAAAGCCCGGGGCUCAACCCCGGAAUUGCGUUCGAAACCGGCAUGCUGGAGUCCUGGAGAGGGAAGCAGAAUUCCUGGUGUAGGGGUGAAAUCCGUAGAUAUCAGGAGGAAUACCGGCGGCGAAGGCGGCUUCCUGGCCAGAGACUGACGCUGAGGUGCGAAAGCGUGGGUAGCAAACA
rnacentral:rRNA from 1 species